CUUCCAUUGAAGACGAGAAAUCCGUUCCAGUCGACAUUUUUGUUGUCGUUUUUGAUUAUGUCAACCCUUCCAAGGUUGAUGAUCCUGGGUUAAUUUAUGAUAUUGAACCUCAAGACUACAUUCCUUAUCUAUGUGGUUUGAAAUAUACAAAUAGACAAAUGGACAUAAUUUUAUAACGUAAAGUGAAUUGCUCAGAUGAAUCAAGUAUUUUGGAAGGACAACCGAAUUAUCCAUCGAUUUUUAUAGUCAUCGAACUAACAAGUUAGACGUAUACCAGCACAGUAACUAAUGUUGGUGAGGCUAAUGCAUUAUACAUUGUGAAUAUUCUUUCACCUCAUGGUGUUAAUGUGGUUGUCAAACCUUGUAGUCUUAAUUUCUCAGAGUUGAACAAGAAGUUAAAAUUUAAAGUUACAUUUAGCAAAUGAGAUACUAUCUCUUACAUAACCAAUGUCUAGGGAUAUAUUUUAUGGAAGUCAUCUAUACAUUCUGUUAGGAGCCCAUUGCUGUGAUUAAGGCAGAUUCAUAGUGGCCUCGUGUUGGAAAAAAUUGUCGUUUACCUAUAACUUUUGGCUCUAUGAAAAAGGAUUUGAAUAAUAUAGGAUAUCAAACAUAUGUAAUCUACUUUAUUUUAAUUUUCAUUAUCAUUAACUCCAUAUGAAACUCGAUUGCUUCAAAGAACUCAUUUGAAUAUAUAAAUUAAAAUUGUGUAAGUUCCUAGAUCUAGUUUUAAAAAAAUUUAAAAGCAAUUGAG
rnacentral:lncRNA from 1 species